GACGAACGCUGGCGGCGUGCUUAACACAUGCAAGUCGAACGGAAAGGCCCUGCUUUUGUUGGGUGCUCGAGUGGCGAACGGGUGAGUAACACGUGAGUAACCUGCCCUUGUCUUUGGGAUAACUUCAGGAAACAGGGGAUCAUAUCGCGUAGAAUCUCCUGAUGCAUGGUGGGGGAUGGAAAAUUUCGGCGGUUGGGGAUGGAUUCGAGGCUUAUCCGCUGGUUGGGCGGGUAGUGGCUUACCAAGGCUUUGACGGCUAGCCUGCAUGAGAGGGUGACCGGCGACAUUGGGACUGAGAUACGGACCAGAAUCCAACGGGAGGCAGCAGGGGGGAAUAUUGCACAAUGGGCGGAAGCCUGAUGCAGCAACGCCGCGUGCGGGAUGACGGCCUUCGGGUUGUAAACCGCUUUCGCCGGUGACGAAGCGUGAGUGACGGUAAUGAGUAAAGAAGCACCGGCUAACUACGUG
rnacentral:rRNA from 1 species